rnacentral:rRNA from 1 species
AGUGAACGCUGGCGGUAGGCCUAACACAUGCAAGUCGAACGGCAGCACAGUAAGAGCUUGCUCUUACGGGUGGCGAGUGGCGGACGGGUGAGGAAUACACCGGAAUCUACUUUUUCGUGGGGGAUAACGUAGGGAAACUUACGCUAAUACCGCAUACGACCUACGGGUGAAAGCAGGGGAUCUUCGGACCUUGCGCGAUUGAAUGAGCCGAUGUCGGAUUAGCUAGUUGGCGGGGUAAAGGCCCACCAAGGCGACGAUCCGUAGCUGGUCUGAGAGGAUGAUCAGCCACACUGGAACUGAGACACGGUCCAGACUCCUACGGGAGGCAGCAGUGGGGAAUGUUGGACAAUGGGCGCAAGCCUGAUCCAGCCAUACCGCGUGGGUGGAGAAGGCCUUCGGGUUGUAAAGCCCUUUUGUUGGGAAAGAAAAGCAGCAGGUUAAUACCCCGCUGUUCUGACGGUACCCAAAGAAUAAGCACCGGCUAACUUCGUG